AGAGUUUGAUCCUGGCUCAGGAUGAACGCUAGCGGCAGGCCUAAUACAUGCAAGUCGAACGGAUGUAGCAAUACAUUAGUGGCGCACGGGUGCGUAACGCGUAUGCAACCUACCUUUCAGUGGGGGAUAGCCCGGGGAAACCCGGAUUAAUACCGCAUAAGAUAGUUGACUGGCAUCAGUUAAUUAUGAAACAUUUAUGGCUGAAAGAUGGGCAUGCGUUAGAUUAGCUAGUUGGUGAGGUAGCAGCUCACCAAGGCGAUGAUCUAUAGGGGUUCUGAGAGGAAGAUCCCCCACACUGGUACUGAGACAGGGACCAGACUCCUACGGGAGGCAGCAGUAGGGAAUAUUGGGCAAUGGAGGCAACUCUGACCCAGCCAUGCCGCGUGCAGGAAGAAGGCCUUCUGGGUUGUAAACUGCUUUUGGAAGUGAACAAAAAGACACUGCGGUGUAAAUUGAGUGUAGCUUCAGAAUAAGCACCGGCUAACUCCGUGCCAGCAGCCGCGGUAAUACGGAGGGUGCAAGCGUUGUCCGGAUUUAUUGGGUUUAAAGGGUGCGUAGGCGGCUUGAUAAGUCCGUGGUGAAAGCCAACAGCUCAACUGUUGAACUGCCAUGGAUACUGUCAGGCUUGAGUACAGACGAGGUAGGCGGAAUGGAUCGUGUAGCGGUGAAAUGCAUAGAUACGAUCCAGAACUCCGAUUGCGAAGGCAGCUUACUAGGCUGUAACUGACGCUGAGGCACGAAAGCGUGGGGAGCGAACAGGAUUAGAUACCCCGGUAGUCC
rnacentral:rRNA from 1 species